rnacentral:rRNA from 1 species
CACGUAGGGGGCGAGCGUUGUCCGGAUUCAUUGGGCGUAAAGAGCUCGUAGGUGGUUCAGUAAGUCGGGUGUGAAAGCUCCGAGCUCAACUCGGAGAGGCCACCCGAUACUGCUGUGACUCGAGUCCGGUAGAGGAGCGUGGAACUCCUGGUGUAGCGGUGAAAUGCGCAGAUAUCAGGAAGAACACCCGUAGCGAAGGCGGCGCUCUGGGCCGGUACUGACGCUGAGGAGCGAAAGCGUGGGUAGCAAACAGGAUUAGAUACCCUGGUAGUCCACGCCGUAAACGUUGGGCACUAGGUGUGGGGAGGAGUCAACCCUUUCCGUGCCGUAGCUAACGCAUUAAGUGCCCCGCCUGGGGAGUACGGCCGCAAGGCUAAA